rnacentral:rRNA from 1 species
UACGUAGGGGGCUAGCGUUGUCCGGAAUCAUUGGGCGUAAAGAGCGUGUAGGCGGCCCGGUAAGUCCGCUGUGAAAGUCGGGGGCUCAACCCUCGAAUGCCGGUGGAUACUGUCGGGCUAGAGUGCGGAAGAGGCGAGUGGAAUUCCUGGGUGUAGCGGUGAAAUGCGCAGAUAUCAGGAGGAACACCAAUUGCGAAGGCAGCUCGCUGGGACGUUACUGACGCUGAGACGCGAAAGCGUGGGGAGCAAACAGG